rnacentral:rRNA from 1 species
AUUGAACGCUGGCGGCAUGCCUUACACAUGCAAGUCGAACGGUAACAGGUCUUCGGAUGCUGACGAGUGGCGAACGGGUGAGUAAUACAUCGGAACGUGCCUAGUAGUGGGGGAUAACUACUCGAAAGAGUGGCUAAUACCGCAUGAGAUCUACGGAUGAAAGCAGGGGAUCGCAAGACCUUGUGCUACUAGAGCGGCCGAUGGCAGAUUAGGUAGUUGGUGGGAUAAAAGCAUAGCAAGCCGACGAUCUGGAGCUGGUCUGAGAGGACGAUCAGACAGACUGGGACUGAGACACGGCCCAGACUCCUACGGGAGGCAGCAGUGGGGAAUUUUGGACAAUGGGCGAAAGCCUGAGCCAGCAAUGCCGCGUGCAGGAUGAAGGCCUUCGGGUUGUAAACUGCUUUUGUACGGAACGAAAAGCCCCGGGUUAAUACCCUGGGGUCAUGACGGUACCGUAAGAAUAAGCACCGGCUAACUACGUGCCAGCCGCCGCCGUAA